UGGUCAAAAGAAAGGCCGAAAACAAGUGCUUUGCAAGGUAAUCCUCCUGUUUACGCACGGUCAUAAAAAAGUGAAGAAAUACAGCGCUCAGUGAGGAGAGCAUGGCUAUGGUAUCCGCCACAACAAAUGUUAUGAAAAGUGCUUUCUUUGAUAAAAUUGCCUUGCCAUUAUCAUCUUUGUAACCACCGGGCAAGGUGAAACCCGCAGCAAAAGUUACUGUUGUUAUAAGCGUAGAAACUAUCAAAUGGUUUUUGCCUUGUUCUCGUAAUGCAACGAUGCGUUUCUCGUUGUACUCUUUGCUUUCUUUCUCAUCCAUGGAUUGCUUCUUAUAAUACUGAAAUUGAAUUUCUUCCUCAUCCAUCAAUUGCUUCAUUAUAUCCUGAAAUUGAAUAAGAGGAACAUUGCAAGUUAACUCAACUGAUGAAUCAAUUUAUGUCACAUUCAGUCACUCACUGCUGGGUAAAAAAAGCCAUUGAAAAUCUGAUACAAAUGAUAAAUGCAUAUCUAACUUAAAUACAAUAGCAAAUCAAGCUUAUUUAUUCCAAAAGAUUGAGGUUAAUGGAGUUAUUUGUUUGCUCUAAACCUUCCUAAUAAAAAUAGUAUGAUGAGUACUAAUUUACUUAAAUUUCAACACCAAUAUAAAUUAUUAAAUAAAUCCAAUGAAUUUAUCUUUUAACUCAUAGAUGUUUUGCAAUUAUAUAUAUUAAUUUUGACCAAAAAAAAAAAAAAAAGAUAAACAAGAGUCUUACUAACAAUAAUAAAUUCUGGUGUCGGGAUCUUAUUCCCGGCAUGAGUCCAUUGGCUUCGCAUGAAAGGAUGGUAAGUUUGGGUUCAAGGAAUCCAAACAUAUUUAAAAGUAACAUAACAUAGCAUAUUUCAAAGAAAAUAUAUCUUUUCAUUCAAAUGAGCACAUGCAGUUUGAGACGAGCAUUUUCCAAAAUACAUAUAACUGAAGUUAUGUGGGAGCCUUACCCUUUCCUCUGUACUGUUUUCCUCGUGCCUCAAAAUUAUGUCGUAGGCUGUGAUGAACUCUCUCCUUUUUCUCUGUCUCUCCCUCAUCUUCUUCCAACGCAAAGAUCGAGUUUCAGGCAUAACAUGUUCGAACUGCUCUAGAAUCUGAUCCAUCAAACGUAACCAACCUUUAAUUAAAUACAUCAAAUCAAGAUUAUUUAUUCCAAGAGAUACGGGGUUAAUCAAGUUAUUUGUUUGUUCUAGAACUUCUUAAUAAAAAUAGUAUGAUGAGUGUCAAUUUAUUUAAAUUUGAACAUCAACAUAAAUUAUUCAAUAAAAAUCCAAUCAAUUUAGAAACAAGGAAAAAACUCUUAACUUUCCUUUCAUUUUUAUUUUUAUUUUUAAACUCUCACAAGUUUUGAAUAUAGAUGUUCUGCAGUUAUCUCGACAAGAAAGAUAAACAAGAAUCUUGUUAAUAACAAUAAUAGUAGUAGUAGGAGGAGGAGGUAAAAGAUAAAUUAGAAAAAGAAUCAUGCACCCUGUCGUCAUUCCAUAAGGGUAAGAAAAAAAAAACAAAACAAAAGAAGACAAACUAAAAUUUUAUUAAUUCUUUAUCUAAUUAAUCCUCUACUACUUUAAAAUGUGAUAAAAAUAGUUAAAAUGUGGAAAAGCAAAAAAAAUUUCUUGAUGCUAUGUUUGGUUCUUGAGAAAUCUUAAGACUAUUUUGGUCAUCGAAAACCAAAAAAAAAAAAAAAUGCAAAAACAAUUCCAUGAGGCUAUGUUUAUUUCUAAAAAAAAAUGUGAGAGAAAAUAUCAAAAAAAGAAAAUAAAGAAGAAAAAUAGAAUGAAAUAAACACAGUCUUAGUGUUUUUCAUGAAUAAAAUAUAGUAUGAUAAGAAUCCAUGAAAAUAUAUAAAAUAAAAAAUGAAAAAAAUAAAAUAGUUUCCUUAGAAAAAGUGGAAAUUUUUUGGAAAGAGCGCAUUUAUCAAGAAUUUAAUUUUUUUCUCAACUUUUUUAUGAACAAUAAAAUAAAAGAAAAUCUUAUAAAUUGUUCUUAUCUUUUUAUUUUCUUCUCUUUUUCCUUUUCCUUUCCUCAAAUUAAUCUUAAACUACAUUUGAUUUUGGAAAGUAAGGGAAAAAAAAUUAAGAAAAAUGGUUUUUUUUUUUUCUAACAUUUGGAUACAAGUGAAAAAAAUAAUAAGAAAAACAUUAUUAAAUAAAGAUAUUAACGAUUUUUCUUCCCAUUUUCAUUUUUUUAUGAAAAAAAAAAAUUAUGCUAAGUACAUUCCUCUUAAAUUUAAAUUUCUUUUGCUUAAUUUUUCAAUGAACAAUGAAAAGAAAGAAACAUUUUAUAAUUAUUUUCCUCUAUUUCCUUCUUUUCCUUUUCUCUAUUAUCCUAUCUUGAAACUUUGAAGAGAAGAAAAUAAAAAACUAGCUAAUGCUUCCGUGAUGGAUCUUAUUCCCAACAUGAGUCGAUUGGAUAUGGAUGAAAGGAUGGUAAGUUUAGGUUGAAGGAAUAAUUCUUACUAAUAAGAUUCAUACUAAUAUCAAUAACAACGAUGACGAUAAUGACAGGUAAAAGAUAAAAAGAAAAAGAAUCACCCUCAUACUCCUUUAUUUUUACCCUAUUUUUCAUUUAUGAGGUAUAAUUAAUAAUUCCAAAGGGAAAAAUGAAAAAAACAAAAAAAGACAAUAAAAUUUAUUCUUUAUCCUACAUAUAUUCACCUUCUAGUAUUUCAAAAUGUUACAAAAACAAAAUAAAAAAGCUAUGGAAAAGGAAAUAUCUUCUUGAUGUUAUGUUUGGCUAUUGAGAAGUGUUAGGACUAUAUCUGCUUCAUGAGAAAUGAUAUGGAAAAAAAUGCUAAGGUUAUGUUUGAUUUCUGUAAAAUUUGAGAAAAAAUGGCAAAGAAAGAUGAUAGAGAAGAAAAAUAGAAGGAAAAAAAAGUGAAAAAAAAAAAGAAAUUUAAAAUUGAUCAAUUAUUUUUACAUGGUUCUUCAAAUUGAUCAUUUCACUUUAUUUUAUUUUUCAUAUAAAGAUUGAAUAAUUUGAAAAUGUGUAAGUUUUUAAUAAUUUUAAUUAUAUUUAAUUUUCUUUCUUAUUUUUUAUUGUAUACAAAAUAUGAUAGAGUUAUUCUUUUUAGUAUUUUUUUUUUCCUUAAUUUUUUUUCUAGAACAAACUAGAGCCUAAUAAAAUGAUAUUCAUAUAUUUGAAUACCCUGGAAAAAAAAAUAUAAGACAAUACAAAAAAAUAAUAAAAGAUUUCCCUUCCUACUUUCCUUAGAAAAAAAUGGGGAAAACUUAGGAAAAGUGCAUGUGUCAACAAUUUAAUUUUUGUUCCUUUAAUCCUAGCUUAGGACUUUUUAUAUUUAUUGGACUUAUACUCUAUUGAAGAUUUAAGGUUAUUGUAGGGUCAACCAGGGAUAGUUUAAGUAUAGAUAGGUUCGUAAAGGUUUAAUAGUUUAGAACAAGUAGCAUAAUGUGGACUUUAAGGUGUUUAAAUUGAGUUUCAAGUUGUAUGUUUAAAAAAGAAAUAACUUAUCAUGGAGUGACACUCAUCACUCAAAUCAUAGUGAAUCUUCAAACCUUGGAGAUUAUAGGUAUGAUCACAACGAUUAUCUUGCAUUUGUUACUUUUAUUAAAUUUGACAAUAACUCUUUGAAUGAUAGUGAUUUUAAUGAUGUUGUAUGUAAAUUUGAUGAUUUAGCUUAAGCAUACCAAAACUUGUUAAAUGAGUGUCUAAAAUGAACGUAAGAAAGUAUAAAAGUUAUUAGCCCAAGGGUUCUCCUAAUCGGGUUUUGAUGAUAACAAACCAUGGUUAAGUAACUAAUUGGUUUAAUGGUUAAGAAUCUCAGGUAUAAAUUCGAAAAUUCACCAAAUGACAAAAUGGAUACAAGAUCGAAACUUUUGGAAGAAUUUUGAUCAUAGGAAAUGAAUGUAAGAUGAAUACAUGGGUGCACUUAAGUUUUUCAUACCAUUUCAUGCAUCUUUGAAAACUCGGUUUAUCCUUUAAAAUUUCGAUUUCAUUAAAACCCGAGUUUUAUCAAAUGUACCUUAGGUAAAAUGUUUUAAAAUUGGAAUAUUAAUUCACCUAAAGACCUUGCUUAAGUGUUAAAAAAGAAAGGAAUUGAAAAAAAUAGGUUUUCGGGGCCAAAAGACUGAACCAGUCGAGACUAUGGCCAACCGGAUCAACCGGUUGGGGAACAGGUCAACCGGUUGCCCUUGUCUGGUCGAGGUCCGAUAGAGGGGUGCCAAAAACACUCUCUCUCAUCCAGUAGCCUCCUCUUCCCAGUUGAGGUUCACCCUUUCCCGGUCGACCUCCGAUCGAGACAACGGUAACCUGUUAAAGCAUUAAAUGCUCCAACAGCUACUGAUUCGGUCGACCCCCCAUCUCGACCGGUCGAGGUUACCUUUUGCUGUUUUUGGCUCCCGAACUUAAAAACCUAUAAAUUGAGAGCUUCACUUCAUUUAUUAAUAAGAGAACACUUGCAAUCAAUUUUCUACCUACCUGUUCUUGGCCUAAAAACUCUCAUUUCUUUCUUAGUGCAAUAAAAACCAUCACUUGCAUAUCUUUGAUUGCUAGUACUAGAGGUAAAAUUUUGUGUUUAUAAAAAACUACUAACAUGAUCAUCCGUAGCUUCCAUAACACCAUACCUUCUCAUAACACUUUUCUCAUAGCUUCCACUUUUACAAGACCAUAUGGAUAUUAGGUCUUGGAUAGAUUAGUGAAAAUCGUCUCAGGUAAUAUAUAAUAUAUAUUGUAAAUAAUGUAACCAAUCUUAUCAUUGAAUCUGAUUGCUAUGAUUGAGAGUAUGAUCUAUGACUUCCAAUUUUAUAAUUAAGUGUCUAAAAAAUUACUAACAUGAUCAUUCAUAGCUUCCAUAACACCAUAAUUUGUCAUCACACUAACUUCCAAUUUCAUAACAGAAACAACUCUAUCAACAUUAUCAAAUAACAAAUAAAGAUAACAUUAUCAUCAAACAAAUUUAAAAUCAAAAGCUAUAUUUAGAAAAUCAAAUCCAAACCAAAAAUAAUCAUUAGAUGGAAAAAAAUCAAGUUGAAAUGAAUAAAAUUUGAAGUGGCAUAUGAAGUUGGAAAUUAGGAUUUAAAUAUCCGAACAAAAUUGAGUUUUUUAAUGAAGUCCUAAAAUAUUAGGACUUCAUUAAUUUUUUUUAUAUUAUAGCAAUUUUUGAGUAAAAUUAUAUUUUUAAUAUUUUAAAAUAAAAAUAUUUAAAAUUAAAUAAAAUUAAACGAAUAAAUAAAAAAAUUAAGAAUGAAGUGAUAGUAAUUUUUAAAAAUAGCAUUAAUGAGAUAAAUAUAAAAAGUAGAUAAAAAUAAAAUGAUAAUAUAUAUUUAAAAUUUAAAAUAAAAUAAAAAUGAAUAAUUUUAAAAAAUAUUUUUUAAAAAAAUCUCUUCUCCGAGAUACCUCUAAUUUUUUUACAGCUUUCUUCAGUUGCUCCAUGCAUCGCUACAUGCUUGAUUUUUUUGCAUUACAUGCUUGAUUUUUUUGCAUCACCUCUAAAUUGAUAUAUCGCCAAUAUUUCGUCGAUAUUAUCAAUAUUUUACCGAAAUUCCCACUAAUCGAUAAUUGGUGCUCAAUAUCGUGUUGAGCACCACUGAAUAUAUAUCGAUAAUAUUUUGUUGAAAAAAUCCAAAAUUUUAAUCAAAGAAAAAACACAUAUGGAAGACACAUACGAAAGAAAAAAACAUUAAGAACAAUAAUUUUCUGAUUUUUGGUUUAUAAUAGAAAAAUAAAAUCAAAAUAAUUAAAAUUAAUUAAAAUAAUUAUAUACUUUAAAUUAUUUAAUUUUUAUAUAAAUAAAGAAAAUAAAUUAAACGAGUUUAAAAAAGUAAUUGAAACAAUUUAUUAAUUUAAAAUUUAUUUUUAAAAUUUUCUUUAGUCUUUUUUAUUUUAUUUUAUUUUUCUAUUUUCCCCCUUUGUUUUGUUUUUGUUUUUUGUUUUUUUGUUUUUUUUAAAGUUUCCAAAAAUAAAACUCAACCUUAGAAAACUAACACAAAAUUUAAAAAAACAAGGUAAAAAAAACAAAAAAUAAAAAAGAAAGGCAAAUUGAACAACUUCACAUAUAUCAAAAUUCAAGCUAAUGUGGAUUUCCUUUAGGCAUGAGUAGAAAACUAAAGAAUAAUGUGAGGAUAAUAUAAAAAAAACUGAAGAAUCGUAAAAGGAAAAUAAAUUAAACAAAAAAAAGGUUAAAAAUUAAUAAAUUAUAUUUCUAUAUUAUUUUAAAUUUAUUUUAUUUUUAAUUUGUAUAUAAAAAUCAAAUAAUUUAAAAACAUAUAAAUUUCUAAAUAAUUUUAAUCACAUUUUUUAUAAUAAAGUCAAAUAUAAUAAAAUCACUUUCUUCCACAUUAUUUUUUCUUUAUUUAACAUUUUCAAACCACCAAAUAUAGCCUUUAAUUUCUAUGUUUUUAUUUUAUAUUAAUAGAAUGUCAUUGAAAAGUCCUUGAUAUUUUUUGCCAGCUCAUGUACGACAAUUGUGGAAAGGACGGCAAACACCACUGAGUUAAAUAUGAUAGGAUACGUUGAUUACUUGUGUGGUGGAGAGGACGCGCUCACCAUUUUUUCUUUUCUUUUUUUAUAAAUUCCUUGUCCAUGUAUAUAUAUACAGUUUUGAUAGCUGUAUGUUUCAAACAUACAAACUGUUUCCCACUUAUCCUACGCACACAGCACCUUUUUUGAACUUUCUUGCAAUGUUAUUCACGUGAUUUCCCGUCUGAUACCAAAACGGACAAGGGAAUACCUAGACGGAUGUUGUUGCCUCCAAUAAAAGGUUUUUGUCCCUAUAUAUAUAUAUAUAUUAUACCUAGAAAAUCAAGUUCCCCGGGAUGUGAAUAUUGCAAAAGGAUUAUUAGCCUUUUCAUAUCUCAAUACUCUGAAUACAAAUCAUGAAUUCUGGUUUGGUUCAAGAGAGAGAUUUGCAUCCCCUCUUGGUAUUGCAUCAUAAACAUGAGGAUUGGUAUAGGCUUUGGGAUAUUAGUCUUAGGGAUAAACUUUUAUUAGGUAAUUCUAUGUACUUUUCCUUUGAUAUAGUGGAUUUAAGCUAUAUAGUCUCUAGACGUCAUGGUUUGCAUAUCCAUAAAGUCUUUAGGAGACUUUAUGAAUGCUUUUCCACAUAUGUAUCUUACUUUCAUAUACGACUGAGAAUAUCUAUUCUACUUAUCUUCUUAAAAAAAAUAUAUAAAAAUAAAAAUUAUGCUAUAAAAAGGACUACCUAUUCACCCCUUCUAGGUGGUUUCAUAACAAAAUAUCAAACAUUCACGUAUAAUUGAAGUGAUGUGAGAAUUUACCUUUUUCUUGGAAAUGUCCUCCUUGGCCCUUGAAAUUAUGUCGUAAGCUGUCAAGUUUUCGCUAUUAUACGCCUUCUUAUCCACUUUCCGAUCGAAUAAGAACCGGAAAUCUGAAAUUUGAUAAGAAGAGAGCAAGUGGAUGGGUGUGUUUCCUUGACCAUCUUUCUCAUUUACAAGUCCUCUGGCACUUAACCAUUCAUUUUCAGAGUAAUCACUAGGCAAAUAAUCAUGGUCUCCCUUUUUCAUCAUGGAAAAGUGAAAAAAAUUAUGGCCGUCGUUAUCGACUUGCUCGCAACAAUCUGGAUAGUGAGCUAGGAGCUCCUCUAUUAUAUAUGUUUAUAUGAUGGUGGAAAGAUGCAAUAUGAAGGGCAGUCUUGUUACCAUCUUUGAUCCCAAGAUAUGCUACACUCUUAUAAUCUGAAUUCUCUAGCAGUUGCCUCACAAUUGUUGGAUUACAAUUUCUCUCUGCAGCACAAUGAAGUGGAGACCACCCUUUCUCAUCCACUUCUUUAGUUAGAGCUGGAUUCCAUUCCAAUAUCGCCUCGGUCAUUUCUGAUAAAUGGAUAAAUGAAAAAAGAGAGUAAAAAAGAAAGUUCAGAAAAAUGAAGAAAAUAAAUAAAGUCAAAUCAACCAUGGCAGUUUCCCUUUUAGUCUAAAUAUGUGAAAAUAACAUAAUCAUUGUAUUAAACCCUCCGUAUUAUGAGCAUACUACCUUCGUCAUUGCAGAGUACAGCAGCAUGCAAGGCCGUUCUACCCAUGAAGCCACUGUACGCUGGUGAAGUGGGAGUUUUGUGACUUUUAUUUAGGAUAAUUUUCACUAUUCCAGUAAAUCCUCUCUCAGCAGCCAUGUAAAGAGGAGUCCCACCAGAAACAUUAGCACCAUAAGUAUACUCAGGGUCUUUCUCAAUCAAUAACUUCACCAAAGAAUAUUGGCUAAAAUAUUGGACACAUCGCACUGCCUCAUGCAAGGCUGUGUCUUUCUCCUUAUUUGUCAUCCUCAACAUCAAUUUAUCUGCUUCAAGCCCAGUUUCAAUAUCUGUAGGAAGUUUUUUGGCAGCGUCUAAAAGAGCUUUCAGAACCUCAAAAUGCCCUUCCCUUGCUGCAAGGUGAAGCGGAAUGUCCCCUUUCAGAUUAGGGCGUUGCAGUAGAGUUGGAGAUGAAGGCAAGCUAAGGAUCAAAUUCACACACUCCAGUUGACCGAACUGGGCGGCGAUGUGGAGUAUCGUGUUAUGCUUUGGGGUUAAAUGGACUAGUAAGUCAUGAUCUGAAAUUUUUUCGAGGACUUUAAUGUUCCCCCUUGCUGCCGCCUUGUACACUUUCGCAUCCAUGCCUGUGAUGACAGUGUGGCUGCCAUCUCCAUUUGCAGCCUGGUUGGAGGUCUGGGCUGGGCUAGGAUCUUGAGCUACAACCUGAUUGGAAUUAGAAUCCAUGUCAAUAUUCUGAAAUUCUGCACUGAGGUUCGAAGCACGCAGCUUUCAAACCACCAAAUAUAGCCUUUAAUUUCUAUGUUUUUCUUUUAUAUUAAUAGAAUGUCAUUGAAAUAUUUUGCCAGCUCAUGUACGACAACUGUGGAAAGGACGGACAACACCGUUGAGUUAAAUAUGAUAGAAUACGUUGAUUACUUGUGUGGUGGAGAGGAGGCGCUCAAUUUUUCUUUUUCUUUUUUCCUUGAGUGGUCGGGAAAAAGUUGGUGAGUGAUAAUUGCUGUAAAGAAAGAGAAGGAAGAGGCAGGGAAAUAUUUCCAGAAAAGCUUUAGUACUCUGAUUUGUCCAUGUAUAUAAAUAUAGUUUUGAUAGCUGUAAAAUAUUAUGUUUCAAACAUACAUACAACAUACUGUUUCCUACUUAUCCUACGCACACAGCACCUUUUUUGGACUUUCUUGCAAUUUUAUUCACGUGAUUGUCCUACGCACGCACAGCACCUUUUUUUGAACUUUCUUGCAAUGUUAUUCACGUGAUUUCCGGUCUAAUACCAAAACGGAAAAGGGAAUACCUGGACGGAUGUUGUUGCCUCCAAUAAAAGGUUGUGUGGUUUGAAAAUAAUCACAUUGUUAAAUAAAAAUAAUAAUAAUGAUUAAAUUGUUUUAUAGUUUCAUUUCAUUUUUUUUAUAUUAUAUAUGAUUUUUUUGUUGACAACUUUAUUCAAAAGUUCAAACUUAAUCAUAUAUUUUAAGAAUCCAAAUUUUUAGCUUGAUAUAAUACCUAUCCGAUAUCAUACUAUUUUUCUUUAUAAAUUUAAGAAUUUAGACUCAAUUGAAUUCAGUUUUCAAGUAAUAAGAAUAUAUUUCCUUUUCAAAAAAUAUUAAAGAAAUGAUAAAAUAAUAUUAAAGAAUGUGAUUUUUUAUUUAUUUAAAUACCAAAUAAAAAGUUGAGGAAAUAAAAAAUAAAAUAAAAAAGGUGACAUCUUUUUUUAUUUAGUUAAAAUUUUUAUUUUUCUUUUACCUUUUAAGGUUUGGAAAAGUGCAAGGUGCCAAAUUUAUACUUAUUGAAGUUUAUGAUUUGUUAAAAGUUUAUGUUAAAAGUUCAAAUAAGACUAAAUUUAAACAAAAUUUAAAUUAAUAAAAAAUAUGAAAGCAAAAACACCAUCAUGAUAAUUUUUGUUUAGUAAAUUUAUAUUUACUAUUAAUAAAUUUUAUAUUUAAGUCAUUUAUUAUUGAUGUAAUUAAGUUAUAUUAAUUUUUAAAAUUUGCAUAAUUGUUUUAAAAAAAAUUAAUGCUAAAUUAGAAAUUAUUAUUUAAAAAGCUAAAUGCUUUGUUUUUUCAUCUGAUGAAUAGUUGUCAUUGCUCCUAUCUAGGGUAUGAUAUUUAUUGGAUAUUUCAUAACAUUUUAAAGUGCCUCAAAAAUUAGUGGUAUGUAAUUAUAGUAAAAAAGUGUUUAGUGGAUGAAGGUUAGAUAUUCAAUGCUUAUCAAUGGUUUAAUGUCGAGAAGGUAAUAACAUUCUUGACAUGUCUUUGAGGAUGACAUUCCAACAUUUCUUAAAUUAACUUCCUAAAUAGAUCAUUACAUCAUGCCAAAAAUCAUUUUUCGAUAUCAUUCAAUAAAAAGUCGUCUGGUUGAAAAAAGUUUAAAUGAAUUCUUCAUUUGUAGCUUAAUUCUAUUUCUUUAUUUAUAAAUCUAAAUUCUUACAUGAAUCCCUCUUAUUUUUAAUAUGUAAGCACCAAGAUUUUUCAUACUUUUAUUUAACAAUCCAAUUUUUAUUGUAAAUACCUUAAAGACUCAAAUUUUGACUUCAAUAUGGUUUGCAUUUGGUAUAUUAGAAUUUUCUUUUACAAAUUUAAAAAUUUAUGGGUAUAUUCCAUUCAUAAGAAAUUUGAAACUAAUAGUGAUGAAGUGUAUUUAUACCAAAUCUAUGGGGAGUCUCGAUGAAAUUAAUCUUAUUUUUAUUUAUAUUAUUAUUAUUAUUAUUAUUAUUAUUAUUAUGUGAUUUUGGUUCACUAGAAAAGGUCAAUAUUUUAUGGUAUGCAUUUUUUGAAUGGGUGUUUGGUUGAGUAGAAAAGGUCAGUGUUCUAUCAUAUAUUUCUAAAAGGGACAAACAUAUAAAUGUAACUAGUUAAGAUAUGUUUAAAUGUUGAAAAGUAUUAUGAUAAAUUUGAUGUUUAAUUAAUUUAUUAUAAAAAAAUAAGUAAGAAAAUUAAAUUUAAUUAAAAUUAAUUUAAAAUUUAUGUAUUUUAAAAUUAUUAAAUCUUAUAAGGAGGAGAAAAAAUAAAUAAAAUGAAUUUAAAAAUAAUAUAUUAAUUUUAUGUUCUCUUGUUUUUUUCCUCAACAUCCCGAAUUACGGUUUUGAUUGCCCCAAUUUUUUUAGGAUCAGGUCUCAUGCGUACUAUUAAUCCAUGAAAACUUAUUUCAUUUAUUUAUUUAUUUUAUAUAAAAAUCAAAUAAUUUAAAAAUAUAAAAUUUUUAAAUAAUUUUAAUUACAUUUUUCAUAAUAAAGUGAAAUAUAAUAAAACCACUUUCUUUAACAUUAUUUUUUCUUUAUUUAAUAUUUUCAAACCACCAAAUAUAGCUUUUAAUUUCUAUGUUUUUCUUUUAUAUUAAUAAAAUGUCAUGGAAAAGUCCUUGAUUUAUUUUGCCAGCUCAUGUACGACAACUGUGGAAAGGACUGACAACACCAUUAAAUAUGAUUGAAUACGCUGAUAUUCAAUGCUUAUCAGUGGUUUGAUGUCGAGAUGGUAAUAACAUUCUUGGCGUGCCUUUGAAGAUGACAUUCAAACAUUUCUUAGAUUAAUUUCAUAAACAGCUCAUUACAUCGUGCCAAAAAUCAGACCUCUUAUUUUUAAUAUGUGAGCACCAAGAUUUUACAUACUUUUAUUUAACAAUCCAAAUUUUAUUGUAAAUACCUUAAAGACUCAAAUUUUGACUUCAAUAUGGUUUGCAUUUGAUAUAUUAUUCUUUUAUAAAUUUAAAAAUUUAUGAGCAUAUUCCAUUCAUAGAAAAUUUGAAAUUAAUGGUGAUGAAGUAUAUUUAUACCAAACCUAUGGGGUUUCAAUAAAAUUAAUCCUACUUUUAUUUUUAUUUUUUUUACGGGAUUUUGGUUUACUAGAAAAGCUCAAUAUUUUAUAAUAUGCCCUUUUUGGAUGGGUGUUUGGUUGAGUAGAAAAUGUCAGUGUUCUAUCAUAUACUUCUAGAAGGAACAAACACAUAAAUAUAACUAGUUGAGAUAAGUUUUAAUGUUGAAAAGUAUGAUGAUAAAUUUUAUGUUUAAUUAAUUUAUUAUAAAAGCAAGAAAAUUAAAUUUAAUUAAAAAAUUAUGUAUUUUUAAAUUAUUAAAUCUUAUAGGGAGGAGAAAAAUAAAUAAAAUAAUAUUAAAAUAAUUUAUUAAUUUUAUGUUCUCUUGUUUUUUUCCUCAACAUCCAGAAUUACAGCUUUGACUGCGCCGGGUUUUUUAGGAUCAGGGCAAUGGGUACUAUUAAUGCAUGAAAACUUAUUUCAUUUAUUGAUUUAUUUUAUAUAAAAAUCAAAUAAUUUAAAAAUAUAAAAUUUUUUAAUUAAUUUUAAUUACAUUUUUCAUAAUAAAGUCAAAUAUAAUAAAAUCACUUUCUUUCACAUUAUUUUUUCUUUAUUUAAUAUUUUCAAACCACCAAAUAUAGCUUUUAAUUUCUAUGUUUUUCUUUUAUAUUAAUAGAAUGUCAUGAAAAAGUCCUUAUUUAUUUUGCCAGCUCAUGUACAACAACUGUGGAAAGGCCCGACAACAUUGAAUAAGCUGAUUAGUUUUGUGGUGGAGAGGAGGCGCUCAAUUUUUUAUUUUUUAUUUCCUAUAUAUUAAUUGAGUGGUUGGUAAAAAGUUGAUAAGUGAUAAUUGCUGUCCUUUAUAUUAAUUCACUGAUCAGGAAAAAGUUGGUGAUUGCUGUCCUUUAUAUUAAUCGAGUGAUCAGAAAAGUUGGUGAGUGAUAAUUGCUGGGCUUUAUAUUAAUUGAGUGAUCAGGCCAGCUGGUGAGUGAUAGUUGCUGUCAUUUAUCUCAGGAAACAUCUGGUGAGUGAUAGUUGCUGUCCUUUAUAUUAAUGGAGUGAUCAGGAAAGUUGGUGAGUGAUAAUUGCAGUAGAGAAAGGGAAUGAAGAGGGAGACAAAUAUUUCUAGGGGAGAAUUGUGCUUCCCGCCCGCUUCCAGCCCCACUUUUUUUGGAUAAUUGGUGUACUCCUAUCACUUAUAAAUGAUUAUAAGAAUAAUGAGAUAAUAAUAGGUAAAACUAUCCAUUGAGUCAUUUUUGUCUCUAUUCCAUCCCUUUUCAUGUGCCAACGUCAACAAAUUCAUCCUUAUUUAACAAUUUUUAGAUUUUUUUAUUAAUUUUUUAAAACUCUUUUAUAAAUAAUUAAAAAAUCAAUAUUAUUUUCUAUUUUUAAAUUAUAAAUAAAUAAAAAUUAUAUUAAUGAUUAAAAAACUAUUUUAAAAAAUAAUUUCUAAAAAAAAUGUUAAUUUAAAUAAAUAAAAAUUAUCCUUUACAUUUUAAAAGUAAAUAAUUUAAUGAUUAAAACACUAUUUAAAAUAAAUAUAUUUACUAUUUUCUUUCCUUUUAUACUAAAAAUUAUUUUGAAGCUUAUUAUUUAUUUUUUACUAUUAUAAAAUAAAAUUUUUAUUUUUUUUAAAAUCUUCUUCCUUAUUUUAAUAACUUUUUUAAUAUGACUUUUGGUAAUAAGUUAUAUGAAAUGUUGCAAAUUUGUUUACAAAUGAUUUUUUUUAGCUUAUUUGAAUUAAUUGAAAAUUUAUCAAAAUAAUAAAAAGAAAAACAAAGAAAAAGGAUGGAUAGAGAUUUUUUAUUUUAAAUUUCUAAUUAAAAUGUUUUUCGUAUGACCUAAUUUUAGAAAUGUGUUAUAUCAAUAUAUAGUAUAGUAGAGAUUGAAAGUAUUUUAUAUAAAAGGGUUGAAUGGUAUAUUUACUUGUUUUAGAUGAAAACAAGUAGUUAAAAAUUAUAGAGAUUAUAUUUGAGUUUAAUUUAAAAAUAUUUUUCUAGUAUUUAUUUAUUUAUUUAUUUAUUUUUUAAAAAAUAAUUUUUAUUUUCUAUAUUGUCUAUUUUUUAAAAUACGUGUGAUUAAAAAUGAAAACUAUUUUUAAAAUGAAAAUUAAAAACCUUGUUUAAUACUAUUUUUUAUAUAAAAAUAAUAAAAAGAAUUAAAUUUCAUUUACUGAUUAUUCUUUUUUUAUUUUUUCUAUUAGUUAUUUUAAUAAUAAAAUAAAGAAAAUAUAAUAUGUUUACAAUUAAACAAAGGAAUUGACCAAUUGUGUGUUUUUUUCAUAAAAAAUAUAAUAUAUACAAAAAAAAAAAAGUUGAAUUUAAGUUUUCUGUCAUUUUCUCAACCAAACUAUCAGAAUCAUGUUUAAUAUACUUAUAGACACACAUUUACUAUAGGGAUAUGGAAUUUGCGUCACUAUACAAGGGUAUUCACUAACUGUACAAGGGGUGUACAAGACCACUCAUUGUGAAAUAUUUCAAUCAAUUCUAAACCACUCCUUAAUUUUCUUUGUCACUCACAUAUCGUACACUCAUGUCAUACAUUUUAUUUAAUUCUCACAUGGAAAUUCAAUGCUUCCCCUAGUAAUAAUGUUUGGGGAAAAAAUUUUGACCCUAAGUUAUCCAGCAUUUGCUCAACCAAACCAUUGGAAAUAUGAUUAACAUACCUACGCAGACACAUAACUUAGGGAAUAUGAAAUUUGUGCCACUAUACAAUGAUAUUACACUAACUAUACAAGGGAAAUAUACUAAAUGUAUAAGGGUGUACAAGACUACUAUUUGUGAAAGAUUUUAAUUGAUUAUGAACCACUCUUUUUUAUUUUCUUGUCACCCACGAAUUAUACACUCAUGUCAUAUACUUUAUUUAACUCUUACAUGAAAUUUCCAAUACUUUUUCCAGUAAUGAUGUUUAGGGAAAAAAAAUUUGACCCUAAGUCAUCCAACAUUUUCUCAACUAAACCAUUAGAAAUACGAUUAAUACACCUACAUAGACACAUAACUUAAGAAGGAUAUGGAAUUUAUGUUGUUGUAUAAGAGUAUUACACUAACUGUUUAAGGAAAAUAUACUAAGUAUAUAAGGGUGUACAAGGUUAUCAUUUGUGAAAGAUUUCAAUCAAUUAUGAACCACUCCUUUAUUUUCCUUGUCACUCAAGAUUAUACACCCAUGUCAUGCACUUUAUUUAACUACCACAUGGAAAUUUUAAUGUUUUCCACAAUAAUGAUGUUUGGGGAAAAAAAUUUAACCUUAAGUCAUCCACCAUUUUCUUAACCAAACCAUUGAAGACAUUAUUAAUACACCCACAUGGAUACAUAACUUAAAAUUGAUAUAGAAUUUGCACCACUGUACAAGGGAAUAACACUAACUGUAUAAGAGAAAUGUGCCAAGUGUACAAGAGUAUACAAAAUUCCUAAUAAGUUUUGUACGAUUUUUAAACAACUUGGAGCUUAACAUUAGGACGAUAAUUGAUAGUUUUUUUUGUUUUUUGUUUUUUGUUUUAUCAUCAAACUAUGUCAUUAAGACAUUCCCUACCAAAAUUAACACAUAGGAAAUAAAAUUAAAAUUAAUCAUAGUUGAAUUAUUCGUUACAAGUAAAUUAAAUGAAAUAUAUAUAUUUACCAUUUUUGCCCUUAUAAACAUAAUUUCACUACUCUUAGUAGAGAUUAAAAAAUCAUAUUUAAAUGGAAUUAAAAAUAAACAAAAGUUAUUUUUGUAACAUUUUUAUUUUUUAAAAUCAUUAAUUUAAAUUAUGAAAUUAGUUUUAAAAUUAAAAAUAUUUGUUGUAAUUAUAGUUUUGAAGAUUUCAUGAUUUUUAUCUUAUUACUUUUAAAAAAUUGUUUUAAUAAGAAAAUAUUUAUUUUAAUGGUUUUAAAUAUUUAAAUCUUUAUUUUAAAAUAUUUAAGAGUGUGAGGAACAAUUAGUUAAUUUUGUAAUGGAGAAAUUUUGAAUAUCUUGAAGUGCAUGUGAGUGUUUACAUUAUUUUCGAAAUAAUAUGAUAAAUAAUAAACACUAUGUGUCUAAUUUGUAAGUUAAAAAAAAAAAAGAAUAAUAAUAUUUUAUGAGGUAUUUAAAAAUUGUUUAAUAUAUAGGACAAAUAAUGUAUGACAUAAUUAUUAUUUUGUAAGUAAGAAAUAAAAAAAAUAUUUGCUAAGGUAUUUAAAAAAUAUUUAUUAUAGAUUUUAUAAGUUUGAAAAAAAAAAAAUUUGAUGAUGUCUAAUUUGCAAGUUAGAACAAACGAAGAAUACUAAUAUUUUAUGAGGUGUUUAAUAUAUAUGAGAAAUAAUGUAAGUUUGAAAUAAAUAAUAAUAUUUACUAUAUAUUAUGUAAGGUUUUUUUUUUUUUAAAAAAAAGAAUAUAUUUCAUGAGGUAUUUAAAAGCUAUUUACAUCAAAAAUGUAUUUGACAAUAAUAAUUUUUAACCAUUUAUUUCUCAUGUUCAAUUUGUUAGAGAAAAAUGAUUGGAAAAUUAUUCAACUUGGUCCCACUAAUAAAUACGUGAAAUAAUGUGAAAAAGUGAAAGAAAGAAUUAGAAAGGUGUGUGGUCAGUUAACUUUUCUAUUUAAUAAUCAAGGGACAUUUUAGGGAAUUUUUAAAGGCAAAAUCCUUCAUUUCAAUUUCUACUCUUUCUUUGGGCUCUAAGUUUAAAUAUGGGUAAUAGAAGGACCUUAAGCUAAUUAUUAGGCCCAACUAACUCCAAAGCACAAUUCUCCCUAUUUCUAGAAAAGCUUCAUGUCAUUGUACUACGCUUCAAUAAUCUGAUUUGUCCAUAUAUAUAUAUAUAUAUAUAUAUAAUUUUAAUAGUUGUAAAAUAUCCCUAACAACCCAAACUAUCCCUACUUAUCAGAAUUUUUUUUUUAUAAAAGUACAACUUUUUAAAAAUAAAAUUUGUAAAAUAUGGUAGAUUGAAAGUACUUCCAAAUCUAUUGCCAUUGUUGUUGAUGUGGACUGACACACUUUGAAAAACCAAAUUUUCUUCCAUUUAUUUUCUCAUUUCUUUGGAACGAAGAAAGCUGCUCUUUUCUUUUGUCAUUUCCCCAAACUGUUCUUAUGCUCUAGCAGUCCCUUUCUUCCCCUACUUACCCAUUUCCUUCAUUUUAUUUUCUUCUUCCCCGGAAAAACGUGAAAGUUCAAACAACGAUUUACUGGCAACUAUAGAACCAUCCAUUGUUCGAUUGUCCCCUAGGCAAAAUAGCGAUUCAAAUAGAAAAACCAAAAUAUAGAAGGGAAUGUGAUUAGAGAUUCGGAGACAUAGGAAAGGCCUUCAAGAGAAAGUUUUUGUGUGUGUUUUAUUUAUUUAUUUCUUUGUUCUUUUUUUUUCUUUUUUUAUUUGGUAUUGUGGCUUUGUUUGGUUGCUAAGAAAGUUGUAGUUUUUCUUUUAAGGGAAAGAAGAGGAGAAGAAGGAGAAUAAGUUGUAAUUCACAGUUUCUAUUGUUUGUUUUUUAUUUGUAAAUUUGUAAAGUUCAUGUUGAUCAGGAAUGCUUCUAUAAAAAUUACAUAUUUAGCUAGAAGUUUGAAUGAAUUGUUUCGGUUCAAAUGUAUUAAAAAAAAUGCUUAAUUUUAAGUUAUGGACUUUUAAAAUAAUGAAAAGUUGCUUCCGUUUUGAUUUUUAGAAUGUGAGUUUCCAAUGUGUAUGUUGGACAUGUCAUCCUUAUUUGUAUUGAUUAUGCAAAAUUUUCAUAAUAUAGCUUGCUAUUCAUUUUACUGUUCAGAUUUAUGCAUUUAGGGAAAUAUUUUUACCAUUGAAGAAGUUGCUUUAAUUAUUCCUGGUUUCAAUUUUUAGGUCUUGCCUUUUGGGUUAUUACUUUGCACUUUACAAGUUUAUGAUAUUAGACCAUCAAAUAAAUUUAGCUUAAAUUUAUUAUUAUUAUUAUCAUAAAAAUAUAAAUAAAGUUUAUGAUAGGUCUUGCUUUAUUAUUAUUAUUACUAUUAUUAUUAAUAAUAAAUAAUUAUAACAAUAGUUAUAAUAUUAAUAAAAAUAAAUUUAAUUCUAAUAAUGCUGAUAAUAAUGAAAAAAUUAUUUAACUGAAAUUUGCUUAAAUUUGUUUUUAUUACUACUAAUAAUAAUAAUAAUAAUACUAAUAAUAAUAAUUUUCCAAACUUCCUUUUUAGAACUUGUUUAGACAUUUCAUUACUUAGCAAUUGUGGAUAAUUUUUUUACAAAAUAAUAUAAUCAAAUCCAAAGUUGACUAUUGGUUGAUUUUCUAAAAUGGUCAUAUGAAAAUUACUAUUCUAUUCCUUUUAAAAGUCAAUUUUCUUUUUACGCAAAUACGAGAUUUUAAAUUUGCUUAAAUUUGUUUUUAUUAAUAAUAAUAAUAAUAAUUUUCCAAACUUCUUUUUUAGGACUUGUUUAGAUAUUUCUAUUAUUGGGCAAUUGUAGAUAAUUUUUUCCAAAAUAAUAUAAUCAAAUUCAAGGUUAAGGUUGACUAUUAGUUGAUUUUUUUAGAUGGUCAUAUGAAAAUGACUAUUCUAUUCAUUUUAAAAGUUAAUUUUCUUUUUACGUAAAAACAAGAUUUUUGGUAUUUUAACUAAAUAAGGUAUUGGGAUUCAAUCAUCACUAUUAUUAUUAUUAUUAUUAUUAUUAUUAUUAAAAAUAAUUAUAAUAAUAGUUAUAAUAUUAAUAAAAAUAAAUUUAGUUCUACUAAUGUUAAUAAUAAUGAAAAAAUUAUUUAAUUAAAAUUUGCUUAAAUUUGUUUUUAUUAGUAAUAAUAUGAAUAAUAAUAAUAAUAAUAAUAAUAAUAAUAAUUUUCCAAACUUCCUUUUUAGUACAUGUUUAGAUAUUUCUAUUACUUGACAAUUGUGGAUAAUUUAUUAUUAUUAAUAUUACUAUUAUUAUUGGUAUUAUUAUUAGUGUUAUUAUUAUUACUACAGUAAUAUUAUCAUCUUCAUCGUUACUAUUCUUAUUUUUUUUCUUAGUUAUUAUCAAUUCAAUCUUAUAUAUCUUUUAUUUGAUUAUUUUUAGGUACUUGAAUGGAUAGUUUGAUUACAAUUGUGUGUUACAAGGAUGGUGAAAUAAUUGAUGGCCCAAAUGGGAUGUGUUACCAUUGUCCUCCUCAAAAAGAUGUUUUAGUGAACAAUUUGAUAAAAUAUGAUGAGUUGGAGGAUAAGUUGUGUCAUGUUAUGUUGAUUGAUCGCACUCAUUCGAUAUUAUCCAUGAUAUUUCUAUAUUCAAUUCUUAUGCCAAUUGGAAAUGGGAACAUUAACCAUAUACAAUUACCAAUUAAAGAUGAUGAUGAUGAUGUAAGGUUAAUGUUUCAUGUUGUAGCACAAAUCCCACCAUCGAAUACUAUUGAAAUGUACUUGCAAACACAUCCAAGGAAUCAUUAAUCUGGGUUAAGGCCAUCAUUUGAUCAUGAAAUUAUGAGUUAUGAUGUGGAAGUACCAACAAAGGGGAAUUUGGCAGUGCACAUUGAUGAUAUGGACGGGAAUUUGGCACAAAAUGACGAAUUGGGGGGGGAAGGGGGGUGUGUGGAGGGGAGGAGGAGGAAUUUAACAGUAGUGACUCAGUUAGUUAUGAUAAUAAAAAACAAUUAUGUUGACAUCCCAUUUACAAAUGAAAAUGAUGAUGUAGAAUUUUAUGAUGAGGAUGAGAUUAAUGAGGAAAAUUAUGAUGAUGAACCUCCAACAAAUAAGGCUUCUUUAGUUGAUGGUCAACACAUUAUGCCUUCCCUAAUGUUUAAACAAUUGAAUUGGGAUGCAAUAAAUAGCAUGACUAUUGAGUCUCUCACAUCAUGUACCGGAUUGUGGAAUGAGUCCAAUGAGUUGCUUAAAUGAUUGAGAUUUGAGAGUAAAGAAGACUUGCAAUAUGCUAUAAAACGUUAUUCAAUAUGUUAGAAUCAACAUUUGGUUGUUUGUAAACGGAACCACAAUUGUGGGCAGUAAGAUGGAAGAAGUGGCAGGAAUGAUGCAAUUGGAGGCUUCAAGCAUGUUGUCGUAAAAUCCAUGGAAUGUUUGAGAUAACCAAGUACACAGGUCUUCACACUUGUGUUUAUCCUAAAUUAUCAUAAGACCACUCUUAACUGGACUUUACAUUGAUUGCAAGAGAGAUCCAAAAUGUGGUUCAAAGGGAUCACACCACCUCUAUUGCUAUAUUGCAUCAGAUAGUGAAGGAUAAAUUUGGAUAUGAUGUCCAUUAUAGGAGAAUUUGGGAAGUUAAGAGAAAGACAAUGCUUAGAGUAUUUGGUGAUUGGGAUGAAUCUUAUCAAUCAUUGUCAAAGUGGAUGAACAUCCUUCUACUAACUAAUCCUGAAACAAAGAUUGUUUGGAAGACAAUACCUUUAGGAGGGAUUUCUGGGAACUCUAUGUUUUAUGAGUGUUUUUUUGACAUUUGGGCCAAGUGUUGAAGGGUUCAAGCAUUGCAAACCAAUUAUACAAAUUGAUGGAGUGUUCUUAUGUGGAAAAUACAUGGGGAAGCUUUUAAUUGUUACUUCAAUUGAUGCAAAUGAUCAUAUAUUCCUUAUCGCAUUUGCAAUUGUGGAAGAGGAAUUACAGGAUAGUUAGUCUUGGUUUCUUAUUGCAUUAAGGUGUCACGUCACUCAAAGAGAAGGGAUAUGCCUAAUUUCAGAUCUCCAUGCAGGAAUAAAUGCUACUAUUAUAAAUCCAUCAGUUGGAUAUAGCCCCUCUCAUGCUCAACAUUGAUAUUGUCUUAGGCACAUAGUGAGCAAUUUUAAUGACAAAUUUAAGAAUAAGAUCUUAAAAGAGUUGGCGUAUAGAGUUAGAUCUCAACAUCAACCACGAAAGCAUGAGAAAUGCAUGGAGGAGUUAAAAUGAUUAGAUGAAAAAAAUGUGGGCUGGUUUUCAACGUUAAACACUCAAAAAUUGACUCAAGCAUAUGAUCUAGGAUAUCGGUAUGGAUGGAUGACCAAAAAUAUUGUUGAAUGCUUAAAUGGGGUGCUUAAGGGGGCACGAAUGUUACCUAUCACUACACUUGUUCAAUUAACUUUUUAUCGUUGUGUGUCUUACUUUGAGAUGUAGAGCAAAGAUACGUGCUAGAAUGGCAAUUGGAGAUGUGUAUACUGCGUAUGCAAUCGAUAAAUUUAGAAGAGCUGAAGCCAAAGCUAGUGGCCAUACUGUGACUAUCUUCCAUCGAAUUCAUCAAACAUUUGAAGUAAUUACUACUCUCCAUGGGUUUCAUAUUGAUAAAGAACAUAACAAACAAGUUAUUAAGUUGAACGAAGGCACAUGUAGUUGUAAUAAGUGGCAAUCAUUUGGCAUUCCAUGCUCACAUGUGCUAGUUGUUUGUGCUCAUAUGAGGAUUGAUAGUUGGUAAUUUGUUAAAAAAUACUACAAGAUGGAUGCUUAUGCAAGCAGUUAUGCUCUUAAAUUUAAUCCCAUUCCAAAUGAAUCUUAUUCGUUGUAUCCCGAUUUUCCUAUUCUCCGCCCGGACCUAACUUUGAUGAGAGAUAAGGGGCAUCCUAGAUCAUCAAGGAUAAGGAAUGAAAUGGAUUUGAAGGAACCAAGCGUUAGGGUUUGAUGUGGCUUAUGUAAAAUAAAGGGGCAUAAUCAUCACAAUUGUCCCACAAAAGAUGGAGGGCAAUCCUUUAACCCCCUUCUUCAUGACAAUUGAAGUAUGAAAGAUUAUCCAUUUUGAUAAUAUGAUAUUUUUAUGUAAUAUCUUUAUAUUUGUAAUCAUGCUAAUGUUAACAAGAAUUCAUGAUUAUUUACUAUAUGCAGGUAUCACUACACGAUGGAGUCGGGACCAUUGGUUCCCAUAGUUCUAUAUGGACAGGGUACACAUAGGUCAUCUCUAGCAUGGACAAAUGUGGACUCUAAGGAGCCUCAUGUCGACAUCACAAGGCGAUUUUCUAUCGCACCAGUGCUCUCGAUGGGCGUAUUAUUCCAUUGCUGCAACAGGUAGACUUCUAUGGUUUUGCACGCUUAGGAUUCAUUUCCUUAGAUUGACACCUUAUUAUUACAUUUGUCGAGAUGUGGCAACAUGAGACUUAUACCUUCCACUUACCUCAGGGGAAGUGCAUGAUUACAUUGCAGGACAUUGCCAUUCUUCUUGGACUACCAAUAGAUGGAGUUGUAGUUACUAGUAGCACAUGUUUAGAUUGGAGACGUGUAUGUUAUUCUUUAUUGAUAAUCUAGAUUUUAUCAUAUAUUUUUAAUGAUAAAAAUUACAAUUUCAAUAAAUAUUGAAUUAAUACCUUAAAUUUUUUUAAUAAAAUAAAUAGACAACAAGAUAUAGAUGAUAUAUAAUAAUACUACAAAGUGAAUUAUUUUAAGAUAAUGUUUAAAUUUUUUUACACACAAAAAUGUCUCUAUUAUAGCUCACUCGAUGGCCAUGGAUAGGUUGAUCUACUCUAUUACAUAUGAGUGUUAGGUUGUGGUUAUUUUAAAAAUUAUAUGGAAUUAUGUAAUGCAAAUUCAAUGAAAAUUUUCAUUUUUAGAUGAAAAACGUUUUUGAGGAAAUCCAAAAAUUCUAUAAAUUACUUAGUUUAGUAAAUGUCAGAGUUCAAGCUACUUAGUUUCCCUAAUUUAUGUCAAGAAUUUUUGUUUCUAUGAGUACAAUGGUAUCUCCGUACACUUGUUAGUUGUUCUUUGUAAAUUUUUAUAUAUAUUAUUUUGAAACCAACAUAAAAUAAGAACUUUUUAUCUUAUGUUUUAGAAUUUCUAUAACUUUAUUAUUAUUAUUAUUAUUAUUAUUAUUAUUAUUAUUAUCUUUUUUUACAUUUUCUUUUCAAAAUAUUUGAAUGUCAUAUUUUUUUUUGUUUUUUCCUAUUGUUUUGCUUUGUAUAUAAUAAUUUUUAUUUAAUAAAAUUAUUGGAUUUCUUAAAAUUAAUAAAAGUAUAAUUACACGAAUAAUAAAAUUACUUAAAUACAAAAUAUUAUCAAGCAUAAAUAUAGAUUUAUUAAACAAGAACUACCAAGUUUAUGCUUUUAUAUUCUAAUAUAAUUUUUUUUUCUUUUAAUAUUGCGUUUGAACAUUGGCCUCACUUUCAAGGGGAUGGCACCCUUAGCUGAAGCCUACAACAGCAAAAUCACGUGAAUAACACUUCAAGAAAGUUCAAGAAAAGUGUUGUGUGUGUAGCAUAAGUAGUGGCUUUUUAAAAUUUUACAACAACUUUAAAAAAUAAUUAUUUAAAAAUGGUAAUUUGAAAAAUAUUGAUAGAUGUACGUGACUUUUUGCCACGGGGAAGGUGUCUCUUCAAGAGAAACCUUUCAUAAUUUUCAAAUUCAUGAUAGGUAUUUAAAAGAAUUGAAUUUAUAUUAAAAGUGUCUCUUGAAAAGACACAUUUCCACAAUUUCAUAAAAUUUAAAUUUAUAUUACAAGUAUCUCAUGAAUUUGAUUUUAUAUUGAAGGUGUCUUUUUCUAUAAUUCCAAAAAAUUUGAAUUUAUACUAAAGGUGUCUCUUGAAGAGAUACUUUCCAUAAUUCCACAAAUUCCAAUAUAUACUAAAGGUGUCUUUUCAAGAGACCCCUUCCACAAUUUCAUAAAUUUUAUACGUGUCUCUUAAAUUUGAUUUUAUAUUGAAGGGGUAUCUUCAAAAGACAUCUUCUAUAAUCCCCAAAAAAUUGGAUUUAUAUUGAAGGUGUGUCUUCAAAAGACACUUUUCACAAUUCCACAAAAUCCAAUAUAUACUAAAGGAGUGUCUUGAAGAGACACAUUCUACAAUUCCCAAAAAAUUGGAUUUAUACUAAAGGUGUCUCUUCCACAAUUUUACAAAUUUUAAUUUAUACUACUAUGUGUCUCUUAAAUUUGAUUUUAUAUUAAAUGUGUCUCUUCAAAAGACACCUUCUACAAUUCCCAAAAAAAUGAAUUUAUACAAAAAGUGUUUAUUCAAGAGAUAUCUUCCACAAUUUGACAAAAUCUAAUAUAUACUAAAGGUGUCUUUUGAAGAGACAUCUUCCACAAUUUCACAAUUUUAAUUUAUAUCAAUUUUAUAUUGAAGGUGUCUUCUGAAAGACACCUUUUAUAAUUUUCAAAAAAUUAUAUUUAUACUAAAUCCAUAAUUAAAAAAAAAUGGGUUUAUGCUAAAAGUGUUUUUUCAAGAAAAAGACACUUUCCACAAUUUCCAUACACAGUGGAAAUUUUCAAAUUUAUGCUGAAGGUGUCUCUUGAAGAGACACCUUCGACAAUUCCCUAAAAAAAAUGGAUUUAUACUAAAUGUGUCUCUUCAAGAGUCACCUUCCACAACUAAAAACAAAUUGAGUUUAUAUUGAAAGUGUCUCUUUGAGAGACACUUUCCACAAUUUCCAUACACAGUGGAAAAUUUUAAAUUUAAGCUGAGGGUGUCUCUUCAAGAGAUACCUUCCAUAAAAGAAAAAAAAAAUUAUAUCUCUUAAUUAGUAUUACCUUAUAUACAACCAGAUGUUUAAAGUUUAUCACCUAUAUACAUUAUAAUCAAUAUUUUGACAUUCAAUCCAAAAUCAAUCAAAACAAGUAAACCAAAUACCAAUUAAAUUAGUACAUUUCCAUAAUAAUAACAAUACUAUUUUGUAUAAAAUAAGUCCAAAAUGGGUAGAUUACUAUAGAACUUACAUUAAUAAAAAGUUAGUCAAUCCAAAAUAUAACAAGUAUAAAUAUACAUCUUGAGUAUUUGUCUAAAAUAAUGAUAUGCAAAAUACUAACAAUAUCCAAAAAUAUAAGUCAUAUAUAGUCACAUCCUUAAUGUGUACUGCAUGAAGGAGCCUUCUUCUUCCGUUGUAGACGUCUAUGAUAUGCAUGUUCUACUAUUGGCUCUAUGGGGAUGACAUGUACCCCCCUCUCCCCCAUGAGUUGGAUGACCACGUCUCCUACCACAUCCUCAACCUUGUCCUCGACCACGAUCAUUCUUUUGUCCUCACUAAUCAUCAUUUUCUAUAUGAACUAACUCCUCAUCAACCAAUUAAACCUCUAUUGGUUGUAGUGAUGAUGCAACAAGUGGUACUAUAGGUGGGGUGGAUGACACUUCCACAGGUGUAAUAAGAGUCUCUUCUAUAUGUGGUGGGUUAAUGUCAGUUGAUGGUGCAUAUUUAAGAAUAGAUGUAUGCCUAGCCUUUCUUGUAUAAGCCCAUCCUCCUCUAGUCCAUACAUUUCUUGAUUGAGUAAUGGAUGAUAUCAACUGUUAUAAGGUGGUGGACUAAUGUUAGUUGAUGGUUGCACUCGGGCAACAAAUGGUGUAUGCCUAAUCUUCCUCGUAUGAGGCCCUCGUCCUAUAGGUCGUACAUGUCCUAAUCAAGGCUGGAGCUGUGUAGUAGCAUCAACACUAAAUGGAACAUUUAAGCAAUCCAUCUCAUGUAUGACCUAUAAUACGGUAGUAGAUAGUUUGCAAAUGUGCAAAUCAUCUAAAGGUGCAAUAUCAUAUAUCUGAUAUAUGCUGGUAGUCUGUAAGUCAAAUAGGAGAUAAAUUAAAUUCUUACAAAAAUAAAAUAAAAUAUAUUUAAAAAAAUAAAACAUGAAAAUUACUAGUAGCUCAUGGAAGGACCCAGUCUGAGUAAGAAACAGAAUAGUAAUGGAACAAUACCACACCAUAUAUGGAUCAUGAUACCCCAAUGAACCUAUAGCCAUCUCGCCUCUAGCAAUAUGCUCAUGCCUAAAGGUCCAACAUCGAAUGUAGUCUCCAUGUUGAGUAGUCUAAUCAACACCAUGUCUACCUCUCAAAUCACAUUUGUGUAAGAUUGAUUCAUUAUCACAUGGCUGAGGAAUCCCUUGACGAAAUCCAAACUAUUGCAAUACUCGAUCAGGUCUAUGCCAUUCAACUAUGUGGAAACAUAUCAAAGGUGAGAUAAUGUACCAUGUAUCUUUCCCAGCAAUACAAUAAUAAGGAAGACCGACAUUCAUGUUAUCAAUAUAAGGUUGCCAUAUAAUUUGUACUUAAGAAAGGUUAUAUAUAAUCGGUGGUAUGGAAUUUGUUUAAAGAAACAAGUGUAAGAAAUGAAUCACACUUCUAUAACCUGAUAUGCUAUAAGUCGAUCAAGAUGGUACCUAUAUUGAGCUAAGAUAUGCAUGAUAAUCGAAGUAGUACGAAACUCAUCUCUCCAACUAUAAAAACAAAAUAACAAAGCAUAAAUAAAUAAAUAAAUGAUAGAAUUUAAGUGUAUGCAUGUAUCAUCAUAAUAGUAAAAUUUGUGGAAUAUUACCGAAUGGCUAAUAAAGGUGGAGGCAACUGCUCAUCAUGUGGAGCUUUAUGUAAACGACAAGGUGCAAUAAAUGGGAACCUCUCCCAUACCCAUAAUUGGAGCAAAAUUAAUGGGCUAGAUAUAUUAUGUGUAUCAAUUUGAGAGGCUUGACACAAUUGUCGAUAAAGCCAGGCUAAACAGGCACUACCCCAACUAUUCCUACCAGCAAUCUCAAAAUCCUCUAGAAAGGGUAAAACAUAAGAUGCACCUUAUCACUAGACUUUCCCGAAUCUAAUCUUUUCAUAAUAUUUGUUAAUACACAACUAACGAUGUCUUGUCCGAUUAGCUUCUUUUGAAUCUAGAUGUUUUUUCGAACACGCUUCCUGAAGUUUAAAUUAGUUUAGAGAAGAGAUGUAUAAAAACUUUUUUGGGAACUUGCAUCAUACUUGAGUUUUGAUGCCUAAUUGUUAUUUAUCUUCACCAAAUUAUAACGUUUUCUAUGCGUCUUGAUUGCUUUUAAAUGUCAAUAAUUGGCUUUAUAAAUAAUGAUUUUUGAGCUUAAAGCCAAAUGUUUUAUGCUCAUGAGUUACCAUGGUGUAACGAUAUAAUAUUUAAUGCUUUGAUAAUUAAUGUCUGUCGAAUGAUAAUUAAUGAUGCCGGGAUAGCGUUUCCCGCCUAAUACCAAGACGGAAGAUGUUGCCUCCAAUAAAAGAUCGUGUGGUUUGAAAUGUCUCUUUUUCUUGUUCAAUGAAUGACUUUUUCUAUAGUAUAAUUUAUUGGAUUGAUUUUUAGAGCAUUUUAAAUCAGUUGAAUUACUAGCUGACAAGGUAUUUAUUGUACGUGGGUUUUAGGUAUUUAUUGCGUGUAGUAGGUGUGUGGUGGAUAAAGUUUUGAUAUUUAAUGCUUAUGAAUUAUUGGAUGAAAUGAUAGGUGUGUGGUGGACAAAGUUUUGACAUUUAAUGCUUAUGAAUUAUUUGAUGAAAGGAUGGUGGGAUCUUGGAAUUACUUGGCCUCCUUUAAAGAUGACAUCUAAACAUUUAGUAAAUUAAUUUAAUAAAUAUCAAUUCUAUUCUACAUUAUUUCACGUCACAUCAAAAAAAUGGUAAUCAUCACUUUGUUAAAUAAAAAUAAUAAUCAUGAUUAAAUUGUUUUAUAGUUUCAUUUCAUUUUUUUUAUAUUAUAUAUGAUUUUUUUUUGGCAACUUUAUUCAAAAGUUCAAACUUAAUCAUAUAUUUUAAGAAUCCAAAUUUUUAGCUUGAUAUAAUACCUAUCCGAUAUCAUACUAUUUUUCUUUAUAAAUUUAAGAAUUUAGACUCAAUUGAAUUUAUUUUUCAAAUAAUAAGAAUAUAUUUUAUUUCUAAAAAAAAUAUUAAAGAAAUGAUAAAAUAAUAUUAAAGAAUGUGAUUUUUUUUAUUUAAAUACCAAAUAAAAAGUUGAGGAAAUAAAAAAUAAAAUAAAAAAGUGACAUCUUUUUUUAUUUAGUUAAAAAUUUUAUUUUUCUUUUACCUUUUAAGGUUUGGAAAAGUGUAAGGUGCCAAACUUAUACCAAUUGAAGUUCAAAUAUGAGUUGUUAAAAGUUUAUGAUAAAAUUUUACAAUUAAGGUAUUAAAAUAUUUUUUUAAUACCUUAAUUUUUUAAAUAUAGUUUUUUUUUUAACCAUUAGUUUUUUAAUGCAAGGUUUUAAAAGUUCUUAUAUAAAAAGCUACUACCAUUUUCUGUUUUAAAAAAUAGAAAAUAUGAAAUAUAUAAACUGAAAACUUAAGUAAGUAAAUUUUUUAUUUCUUGGUUAUUAACAUUUAUAGUUAAAAUAUUUAAAAUUUAUAAAUAAAAAACAUUGUAUUUUGUUGUUAAAUAUAUAUAAAAGCAUUUUAUUUAUAUUAAAUAAUGGUAGAUGCUAAUAUCAUCUUUAUGUUAUAUUAUAAUCAAUUUUUAAUUCUUUUUUUUAAACUAAAAUUUUAAUUUAUUUAAUUAAAAAUUUUCUUUUAAAUAUGAGUAAUAUAUAAAAAAAAAAAUUGAAAUAAGACCAAAUUUGCAUGAUGCUUGCAUGUGACAGUUUGGCUGCCAUCUCCAUUUGCAACCUGGUUGGAAUCAGAAUCCAAGUUAAGAUUCUACAAUUUGAUUCAUGAAGUGAAGUUGGGUGAUCUACUAACUUCUAUCAUUAAAUUUAUGGCUUGGAAGACCACCCCUUGCUGCAAAGCUGUGUGGUGAUGGGGAGGUGCAUUUGUCCUUUCUUUGUCUCAUCUUUAAUUUUUAUUUGAUUUGAUUUGAUUUGAUUUUUCCUUUAUAUUAAUUGAAAGGUUAAGGAAAAUUCUUAGCCGGUAUAAGAACUGUGUCAAGGCUGAGCUCAAGUCUUCUCUCGUCUCGUCUUUGAGAAAUGACUCCAUUGUACCCAUGUAAACAAUAUUAAUAAAAUAAAGUGGGUAAAUUAAGUAACGGACUUCGACAAUUAAUUUAAUGAAUUUUUUUGGUUCCCUUAUAAACUUUUUCUAUUAAGAAAUGAAAAACUUCAUUGAAUUUGAAUAAAAAAUUCCAUAUAGUUUUUAAAAUGACCACAACCUAUUAUUUGCAUAGAAUAGUGAAGGCAUGGGAUAUUUUAUACCGAUAUUUUAAAGCGUUAAGUUAUAGGAUUAAUGUUAUCACACUUUGAAUAUGUGUCAUUAUAUACCGAAUAAUACCUAAAUAAGCCUUAUCAAAUGAUGAUGAUUCUAAUAAGCACCGUGGAUUGAAAAAUACUACACUAAAUGAUAUUGCACACUCGAAUCUCACAUUAUAAUUUAAAUAAUGACUCUUUUUAAAAGUGUUAAGGAAUCAAGCGUAAUUAUUUUCAAUUUUUGUAGUAAUGCUUUAACAUCUCUCAUACUACUAUAUAUCUACCGAAUAGGGUUUUAUUUUCCAUUGUUUUGUAUAAAACAUAUUCUAAUAUAAGGCAUGAUUGGGGUACAAAAUGGAUAUUAUUUUUAACAAUACUUCAUAAUUUUUAUAUUAUACAAUAUUAUCCUUUCAUAUAGAUAAAAAUUAUAUUUGAUUGUAAAAACAUAUUUAGAUGUUGAAUUUAAUUGUGAUAGCAUCUCUCGUAAUCAUUUCACCUAGUGAAUUUAUUUCAUCUGGACUUACUUUAAUUAUUUAUUUUAAUAAAAAAAAAGUGAAAUUUGAAGACUUCCAUUUGUUGGAAAUAUCUCUAUAAAUAUUGUAGUUCAUGAGGAGGAAAAGUUAUGAGAUGAAGAUGAACUUGUAAAGACUAUACGAAGUGAAUAGAGAUGUGAGGGAGAACGAGAGAUACUCGAUAGAGUGAGAGGGCUCGUGAUAGGGUAUGGAUAGAAAAAGUGGGCAAACAUGGGAUGUUUUGGGAACCCAAUAGUUUUAUUUGGUUUUAUCCUCUAUAAUAUUCUCUAUUGUAUAGUGGAAUGAUUCUCUUAUCUAUGGACGUAAGCUUGAUUGGCCAAAUCACAUUAAAACCUCGUGCACAUUUGUAUUGAUUAUUUUAUCUUUGUAUUCUUGAAUUAAUUUUGUUUGCAUGAAAGUUUUCACUGACAUAACAAAUUGGUAUUAGAGAUCCAGGUUGAAGACUUUUAGAAGAGCACAUAAGACGAAGACAAAAGAAAUUUCAGAUAAUGGUCAACAAUUUUUAACUAUAGUGACUGACUCAUUGUUUCAUCAUUUAGUGAUCAAUGAUAGUUGUUGUUAUCCCCUCUCCUUUAAUAAUUGAUGAUGUUAUCUCAACUCCAAUAAUUGAUGAUGUUAUUUUCACUCCUUUCAAUAUAUUAUAACUAACCAAUUAAUAACAUAAAUACCUUAGUCGUGUUUUCAUAUUCAUCUCAAACUUCUUUGGACUUUGUUGCCUUCGAAAUUUGAGGAAAAAUACUUUAUGCAAUUGCUUGUUGAAUAAAAAACAAAACAAUGUCUCAACAUCUUUCUUUCUUUCACACAUUUCUAAUAGCAUAUGUUAGAAUCUCCUCUUCUAUAUAAUCCUUAUUCAUAAGCUCUCCCAAAUCUUCAAAGAUAAAAGGAGUCCUCAUCUUUGAGCUUUAAAUGUCAUAUCCACUUCCUUGAAAAAAAUGGUAUCAUAAGCUGGAUUGGGAUAACCAUUCAAUCAACUUGAUUAUGAUACCAGACAAUAAUCCAAAAAAGACGCAUUCUUGACAAUCGUAAAGAAGAAAAAGGUUAAAAAAAACGUUCUCUACAAUAGUAAGGAAGAAAGGAGUUAAAAAAUAACAAAACACUACAAAAAACCUUUGGGAUAAAAGAAAGAAGUCUGAAAUUUUAUUCUUUAGAUUUAUCGUGAAAUAAAGCGCCUCAUUGAGAUGGUUUGCAAGGUGGCUCGCUUCACAGUAAAGUUGUACGUCUGGCCUCUUCUUUAUUUAUUAUUUCUUUUAAUUUCUGUGUUUUUUCUGUCAUAUUAAUAGAAUAUCAUGGAAAAUUCCCUGAUAUAUUUUGCUAGCCCACAUCCUAGAACCGUGGAAAGGCCGGAUAACAACGUUGAAUCAAAUAUGAUGGAAGACGUUGAUCAGUUGUGUGGUGGAGAGGAGGCGCUCAAGUCUUCUCCUUUGUCUCUUAUUUAUUUUUCACUUGUGUCUUUCCUUUAUAUUAAUUGAGUGGUCAGGAAAAUGUUAUUCAUAUUCACAACUGUGUCCAUUGACACUCAGGUCAGAUAAAUCAGUUCAAUACUCUAUGCACAUUUAAAAUAUAAUUCUAAUUCCAAUACAAAAUCAAUGUAAAAAUAAAAGAAAGUAGAAUAUAGUUUGAUUCUCCUACUUUCAACUUUCCCUGCUUUGGACUCUUGUUUUUCAAUAUCAGCAAGUGUAGAGCCGGUUCUCUUUGCCUUCUCAGAAAAGAGCUCAUCCAAAGAUCCGAGAGCCCUCAUCUACACAUCUGCAUUUUAUUUUCUUAUAUAACCCCAUCCUCAGCUUGCCAAACCGACCUUAAACAAAAACAAAGAGGCUAUUCUUUCUUUUUCUUGAGCGAAGAGGUUAUUUUGUCUACCAUGUCCGAAAUCGUACCUCUCCAAAAUUGACAAUUUUCAACAACAAAGGAGAGGAAAAAGCAAGAACAGAGGAUGCAAGUGAGAAAUGAAAGGUCCGAUGAAUGCGGUAAAACAACGUACAAGCCGGUUGCGAAAGCGAUCGCCAUUGCUCCCAUCCCAACCAUGGUGAAAAUAAAGGCCCAAAGCAAGUGCUUCUCAAGGAACUUCUCCCGUUUGCGCAUGGUCAUAAAAAAGUGAAGAAAUACGGCGCAUAGUGAAGACACCAUGGCUAUGGUAUCGGUCACAACAAAUGCUCUGAAAGCUGCUUUCUUUGAUAAAAUUGCCUUGCCAUCAUCCUCUUUGUAACCACCGGGCAAGGUGAAACCUGCAGCAAAAGUUACUGUUGUUAAAAGCGCGGACACUAUCAAAUGGGUUUCACCUUGUUUUCGUAAUUCAGAGGUGUAUUUCUCCUUGUACUCUUUGCUUUCUUUUUCUGUCUUCAAUUUCUUCAUUGACUUCUCCCGAGCCAUAGAUGAAUUACCGGGCAUAGCCCACUCGAACUGCUCUUGGAUCUGAUUCAGAAAUUGGAUGAGAGGAACAUUUAAAUUUAAUUCAAUUGAACAAUCCAUUUUUUUCACAUGCACU
rnacentral:lncRNA from 1 species